UACGUAGGUGGCGAGCGUUGUCCGGAAUUACUGGGUGUAAAGCGCGUGUAGGCGGGAGGCCAAGUCUGUGGUGAAAUCGCUCGGCUUAACUGGGCGGGGUCCAUGGAAACUGGUCACCUGGAGGUCGGUAGAGGCAAGUGGAAUUCCCGGUGUAGUGGUGAAAUGCGUAGAGAUCGGGAGGAACACCAGUGGCGAAGGCGGCUUGCUGGGCCGGACCUGACGCUGAGACGCGAAAGCGUGGGGAGCGAACAGG
rnacentral:rRNA from 1 species